CGCCUGUUUAUCAAAAACAUCGCCUCUUGUAAACCACAGAUAAGAGGUCCCGCCUGCCCUGUGACUAUGGGUUCAACGGCCGCGGUAUUUUGACCGUGCAAAGGUAGCGCAAUCACUUGUCCUUUAAAUGAGGACCUGUAUGAAAGGCAUCACGAGGGCUUAGCUGUCUCCUUUUUCAAGUCAAUGAAAUUGAUCUCCCCGUGCAGAAGCGGGGAUUAGAACAUAAGACGAGAAGACCCUAUGGAGCUUUAGACACAAGACAGAUCAUGUUAAGCACCUCAGAUAAAAGAGCAAACUAAGUGGAACCUGUCUUAAUGUCUUUGGUUGGGGCGACCGCGGGGCAACAAAAAGCCCCCAUGAGGAAUAAAAGUAUUCUUUCAAAAACAAGAGCCACAGCUCUAAUGAGCAGAACAUCUGACCUACCAGAUCCGGCAUAGCCGAUCAACGAACCGAGUUACCCUAGGGAUAACAGCGCAAUCCCCUUUUAGAGCCCCUAUCGACAAGGGGGUUUACGACCUCGAUGUUGGAUCAGGACAUCCUAAUGGUGCAACCGCUAUUAAGGGUUCGUUUGUUCAACGAUUAAAGUCCUACAUGAUCUGAGUUCAGACCGGUCGCCUGUUUAUCAAAAACAUGAUCUGAGUUCAGACCGG
rnacentral:rRNA from 1 species